AGGUGCCCGGGUCUCUGGGCGCCCGGAGAGACCUGGGCGGGGAGAGUGGUGCCUCCACCCCGCGCGGGGCGGGGACGCAGCGGCGGGCUUUCGAGCCGCCCCAGGGGCGGCCCCAGGGUUGUGGCCGGGUCGGCGAGUCUCUCCCACACACACCUGCCCCGCCCCGCCCCGCCCCUGGCUCCUGUGGCCCCAGCCGCCCGGCGCUCGUCUUUGUCGCCCGCGCCCCUGCCUGUAUUCACUCUCUGAGCCGCGGGAGCGGGUGUAGACGGGGAUUCUGCGAGCACGGUGGGCAGAGCUCAGGUGUUAGCGGGGCACGUGGUGUGCGCAUCCUAGCCCCGCGCGUCGCGGCGGGAUGAAGAGCUGCUGAGCAGGCGAAGACACAGCGAGUGCGGCGUCGGGAUCCGGGGAGCACAGGGCCCCGGGGCCACGUCAAACCGUGACGUCCGGGCAAGGCCAGAACUGACGGCGGGAGCCUCGCCCAGCCAGCGAACGACCUGGCCAGCGGUGGAAGACCACAGAAAGCCAGGGAAGGAUGCUGGGGGUGAUGCUGUCAGACGGGAGUUCCGGACCACACCAGCGGGCCCCUGAUGCCGAGCUCCUGCAGGAAGGAGCCCUGCGGGCUCCUCAGCAUCCUGCCUUUGCCAACGACAGAAGCCACGGAGACCGGCCAGGAGCAAAUAACACACCGGCAUUCCACUCACAAGGAACAUUUUGUUGGAUGACACCAUUCGUGGAUUGUUCCCGGUCAUGAUUUUCGCUGUGCACAGCCUAUGCCCCCUUCCACCGCAACCCCAAAUAUAUGUGGAACAGUAACCACCUUUGAUUUCUAGAAACCUCCUGAGAAUCCUUUCUUCUGCGUCUGUUUCCUGGGGACUGGGGUUUCCUCCGGGUCAGCGGGAGCGUAUCCUUGCAGGACGCGGUGACGUUUGAGGAUGUGGCCGUGUGCUUCAGUAGUGGAGAGUGGCAGUGUCUGACCCGCGCCCAGAGGCACCUGUACACCGACGUGAUGCUGGAGAACUAUGGCAACAUGCUGUCGGCUGGCCUUGCCUGCCCUAAGCCACCCCUCAUCUCCCAUCUGGAGCAAGGGGCCGUGCCCUGCGCUGAGGACCUGCAGGACUGGGGGUUCCUGACCUGCUCCUCCCCAGGUGAGUGACGGGGAAGCUCCAGU